ACUUGGUCUUUUCUAGCUGGUCUAGUCAGGUGUGGUCGCAGCCAGGAGAGGUCAUAGUCAGGAGUGGUCACAGUCAGGAGUGACUAUAGAUAUGGUCAUAGUCAGGAGUUGUUAUAGAUGUGGUCAUAGUCAGGAGUGGUUAAAGAUGUGGUCAUAGGAGCGGUUACAGAUAUGGUCAUAAUCAGGAGUGGUUAUAGAUGUGGUCAUAGUCAGGAGUGGUUAUAGAUGUGGUCAUAGUCAGGAGUGGUUAUAGAUGUGGUCAUAGUCAGGAGUGGUUAUAGAUGUGGUCAUAGUCAGGAGUGGUUAUAGAUGUGGUCAUAGUCAAGAGUGGUUAUAGAUGUGGUCAUAGUCAGGUGAGGUCAUAGUGAGGUAUGGUCAUCGUUAGGUGUGGUCAUAGUUAAAUGUGGUCAUAGUUAAACGUGGUCAUAGUUAGGUGUGGUCACAGUUAGGUGUGGUCACAGUUAGGUGUGGUCAUAGUUAGGUGUGGUCAUAGUUAGGUGCAGUCAUAGUUAGGUGUGGGCAUAAUCAGGUGUGGUCAUAGAUAGGUGUGGUCAUAGUUAGGUGUGGUCAUAGUUAGGUGUGGUCAUACUCAGGUGAGGUCAUAGCCAGAUGAACUCAUAGCCAGGCGAGGUCAUAGUCAAGUGUGGUCAUAGUUAGGUGUGGCCAUAGCUAAGUGAGGUCAUAGUUAGGUGAGGUCAUAAUUAGGUGAGGUCAUAUUCGGGAGUGGUCAUAUUCGGGCGUGGCCAUUAGUUAGGUGAGGUCAUAGUCAGGCGUGGUCAUAUUCGGGCGUGGUCAUAGGUGUGGCCAUAGUUAGGUGAGGUCAUAAUCAGGCGUGGUCAUAUUCGGGCGUGGUCAUAGUCGGGUGUGGUCAUAGUUAGGUGAGGUCAUAGUCAGGCGUGGUCAUAUUCGGGUGUGGUCAUAGUUAGGUGUGGUCAUAGUUAGGUGUGGUCAUUGUCAGGUUUUGUCAUAGUUAGGUGUGAUCAUAGGUGAGGUCAUAGUCAGGCAUGGCCAUAGGUGAGGUCAUAGUCAGGCGUGGUCAUAAGUGUGGUCAUAGUCAGGUGAGGUCAUAGUCAGGUGAGGUCAUAGCCAGGCGUGGUCAUAGUAAGACGUGGUCAUAGUCAAGUGAGGUCAUAGUUAGGUGAGGUCAUAGUUAAGUGAGGUCAUAGUUAGGUGAGGUCAUAGUUAGGUGAGGUCAUAGUUAGGUGAGGUCAUAUUCGGGAGUGGUCAUAUUCGGGCGUGGCCAUUAGUUAGGUGAGGUCAUAGUCAGGCGUGGUCAUAUUCGGGCGUGGUCAUAGGUGUGGCCAUAGUUAGGUGAGGUCAUAGUCAGGCGUGGUCAUAUUCUGGCGUGGUCAUAGUCGGGUGUGGUCAUAGUUAGGUGAGGUCAUAGUCAGGCGUGGUCAUAUUCGGGCGUGGUCAUAGUCGGGUGUGGUCAUAGUUAGGUGAGGUCAUAGUCAGGCGUGGUCAUAUUCGGGCGUGGUCAUAGUCGGGUGUGGCCAUAGUUAGGUGAGGUCAUAGUCAGGCGUGGUCAUAUUCGGGCGUGGUCAUAGUCGGGUGUGGCCAUAGUUUUGGUGAGGUCAUAGUCAGGCGUGGUCAUAU